CCCGGACUGUCGGCCAGGAGAAG
rnacentral:piRNA from 1 species